rnacentral:rRNA from 1 species
UACGUAGGGACCAAGCGUUGUCCGGAUUUAUUGGGCGUAAAGAGCGUGUAGGCGGCUAGAUAGGUCCGUUGUGAAAACUCGAGGCUCAACCUCGAGACGUCGAUGGAAACCAUCUGGCUAGAGUCCGGAAGAGGAGAGUGGAAUUCCUGGUGUAGCGGUGAAAUGCGCAGAUAUCAGGAAGAACACCCGUGGCGAAGGCGGCUCUCUGGUACGUGACUGACGCUGAUGCGCGAAAGCCAGGGGAGCGAACGGG